rnacentral:rRNA from 1 species
UAAGGAAUAUUGGUCAAUGGGCGCAAGCCUGAACCAGCCAUGCCGCGUGCAGGAAGACGGCCCUAUGGGUUGUAAACUGCUUUUGUCAGGGAAUAAACCCCCGCUCGUGAGCGGGGCUGAAGGUACCUGAAGAAUAAGCAUCGGCUAACUCCGUGCCAGCAGCCGCGGUAAUACGGAGGAUGCAAGCGUUAUCCGGAUUCAUUGGGUUUAAAGGGUGCGCAGGCGGAUUGGUAAGUCAGGGGUGAAAUCCCACAGCUCAACUGUGGAACUGCCUUUGAUACUGUCAGUCUAGAGUAUAGUUGAAGUGGGCGGAAUGUGUCAUGUAGCGGUGAAAUGCUUAGAUAUGACACAGAACACCGAUCGCGAAGGCAGCUCGCUAAGCUAUAACUGACGCUCAUGCACGAAAGCGUGGGGA